CCCCCUUUGUGAUGUUUUGGCAUCGCUCCUUCAUCGCACAUCCUCAGGUACGUCAAUUCACUUCCUUCCCUUCCCUUCGUCCCUCGGUCCCACGCUCGUGGCGCUGAAGUGGUGGCAACAGGCGAUGGCGGUGGUGUCGCUGAUGGCGGCGAGGACAGCAUGUGGCAGCUCCCGAAGCAUGAACACGACCGCACCUCGGGCCUGCCGUCUGCCAAGAUAUGGCUCUGGCCGAUUGACAAUGGAGGUUUGGGAUCCUUCCUCUCAGCACCCACUCCUGGAAGAAUCAGCGGUGCGCCACGCCGAUUGAACCCCGUCGAGAUCACUCGCCAAGAUUGCUAUUCUGAAGUUUAUUGUAAAGAAAGUGAAGAGUGAGA